rnacentral:rRNA from 1 species
UACAGAGGUCUCAAGCGUUGUUCGGAUUCAUUGGGCGUAAAGGGUGCGUAGGCGGCGCGGUAAGUCGGGUGUGAAAUUUCGAGGCUUAACUUCGAAACCGCAUUCGAUACUGCCGUGCUUGAGGACUGGAGAGGAGACUGGAAUUUACGGUGUAGCGGUGAAAUGCGUAGAUAUCGUAAGGAAGACCAGUGGCGAAGGCGGGUCUCUGGACAGUUCCUGACGCUGAGGCACGAAGGUCAGGGGAGCAAACGGG